rnacentral:rRNA from 1 species
GAUGAACGCUGGCGGCGUGCCUAAUACAUGCAAGUCGAGCGAACAGACGAGGAGCUUGCUCCUCUGAUGUUAGCGGCGGACGGGUGAGUAACACGUGGAUAACCUACCUAUAAGACUGGGAUAACUUCGGGAAACCGGAGCUAAUACCGGAUAACAUGUUGAACCGCAUGGUUCAACAGUGAAAGACGGUCUUGCUGUCACUUAUAGAUGGAUCCGCGCCGCAUUAGCUAGUUGGUAAGGUAACGGCUUACCAAGGCAACGAUGCGUAGCCGACCUGAGAGGGUGAUCGGCCACACUGGAACUGAGACACGGUCCAGACCCCUACGGGAGGCAGCAGUAGGGAAUCUUCCGCAAUGGGCGAAAGCCUGACGGAGCAACGCCGCGUGAGUGAAGAAGGUCUUCGGAUCGUAAAACUCUGUUAUUAGGGAAGAACAAAUGUGUAAGUAACUAUGCACGUCUUGACGGUACCUAAUCAGAAAGCCACGGCUAACUACGUG